rnacentral:rRNA from 2 species
UUAAGCGACUAAGCGUACACGGUGGAUGCCCUGGCAGUCAGAGGCGAUGAAGGACGUGCUAAUCUGCGAAAAGCGUCGGUAAGGUGAUAUGAACCGUUAUAACCGGCGAUGUCCGAAUGGGGAAACCCAGUGCAAUUCGUUGCACUAUCGUUAACUGAAUACAUAGGUUAACGAGGCGAACCGGGGGAACUGAAACAUCUAAGUACCCCGAGGAAAAGAAAUCAACCGAGAUUCCCCCAGUAGCGGCGAGCGAACGGGGAGCAGCCCAGAGUCUGAAUCAGCUUGUGUGUUAGUGGAACGGUCUGGAAAGUCCGACGGUACAGGGUGAUAGUCCCGUACACCAAAAUGCACAGGUUGUGAACUCGAAGAGUAGGGCGGGACACGUGGUAUCCUGUCUGAAUAUGGGGGGACCAUCCUCCAAGGCUAAAUACUCCUGACUGACCGAUAGUGAACCAGUACCGUGAGGGAAAGGCGAAAAGAACCCCGGCGAGGGGAGUGAAAAAGAACCUGAAACCGUGUACGUACAAGCAGUGGGAGCACCUUUAUGGUGUGACUGCGUACCUUUUGUAUAAUGGGUCAGCGACUUAUAUUCUGUAGCAAGGUUAACCGUAUAGGGGAGCCGCAGGGAAACCGAGUCUUAACUGGGCGUUAAGUUGCAGGGUAUAGACCCGAAACCCGGUGAUCUAGCCAUGGGCAGGUUGAAGGUUGGGUAACACUAACUGGAGGACCGAACCGACUAAUGUUGAAAAAUUAGCGGAUGACUUGUGGCUGGGGGUGAAAGGCCAAUCAAACCGGGAGAUAGCUGGUUCUCCCCGAAAGCUAUUUAGGUAGCGCCUCGUGAAUUCAUCUUCGGGGGUAGAGCACUGUUUCGGCUAGGGGGUCAUCCCGACUUACCAACCCGAUGCAAACUACGAAUACCGAAGAAUGUUAUCACGGGAGACACACGGCGGGUGCUAACGUCCGUCGUGAAGAGGGAAACAACCCAGACCGCCAGCUAAGGUCCCAAAGUCAUGGUUAAGUGGGAAACGAUGUGGGAAGGCACAGACAGCCAGGAUGUUGGCUUAGAAGCAGCCAUCAUUUAAAGAAAGCGUAAUAGCUCACUGGUCGAGUCGGCCUGCGCGGAAGAUGUAACGGGGCUAAACCAUGCACCGAAGCUGCGGCAGCGACACUAUGUGUUGUUGGGUAGGGGAGCGUUCUGUAAGCCUGCGAAGGUGACCUGUGAGGGUUGCUGGAGGUAUCAGAAGUGCGAAUGCUGACAUAAGUAACGAUAAAGCGGGUGAAAAGCCCGCUCGCCGGAAGACCAAGGGUUCCUGUCCAACGUUAAUCGGGGCAGGGUGAGUCGACCCCUAAGGCGAGGCCGAAAGGCGUAGUCGAUGGGAAACAGGUUAAUAUUCCUGUACUUGGUGUUACUGCGAAGGGGGGACGGAGAAGGCUAUGUUAGCCGGGCGACGGUUGUCCCGGUUUAAGCAUGUAGGCUGGUUAUCCAGGCAAAUCCGGAUAAUCAAGGCUGAGGUGUGAUGACGAAGCACUACGGUGCUGAAGUAACAAAUGCCCUGCUUCCAGGAAAAGCCUCUAAGCAUCAGGUAACAUCAAAUCGUACCCCAAACCGACACAGGUGGUCAGGUAGAGAAUACCAAGGCGCUUGAGAGAACUCGGGUGAAGGAACUAGGCAAAAUGGUGCCGUAACUUCGGGAGAAGGCACGCUGGUGUGUAGGUGAAGCCCCUGCGGGUGGAGCUGAGACCAGUCGAAGAUACCAGCUGGCUGCAACUGUUUAUUAAAAACACAGCACUGUGCAAACACGAAAGUGGACGUAUACGGUGUGACGCCUGCCCGGUGCCGGAAGGUUAAUUGAUGGGGUUAUCCGUAAGGAGAAGCUCUUGAUCGAAGCCCCGGUAAACGGCGGCCGUAACUAUAACGGUCCUAAGGUAGCGAAAUUCCUUGUCGGGUAAGUUCCGACCUGCACGAAUGGCGUAAUGAUGGCCAGGCUGUCUCCACCCGAGACUCAGUGAAAUUGAACUCGCUGUGAAGAUGCAGUGUACCCGCGGCAAGACGGAAAGACCCCGUGAACCUUUACUAUAGCUUGACACUGAACAUUGAGCCUUGAUGUGUAGGAUAGGUGGGAGGCUUUGAAGCGUGGACGCCAGUCUGCGUGGAGCCAACCUUGAAAUACCACCCUUUAAUGUUUGAUGUUCUAACGUUGGCCCCUUAUCGGGGUUGCGGACAGUGUCUGGUGGGUAGUUUGACUGGGGCGGUCUCCUCCCAAAGCGUAACGGAGGAGCACGAAGGUUAGCUAAUCCUGGUCGGACAUCAGGAGGUUAGUGCAAUGGCAUAAGCUAGCUUGACUGCGAGCGUGACGGCGCGAGCAGGUGCGAAAGCAGGUCAUAGUGAUCCGGUGGUUCUGAAUGGAAGGGCCAUCGCUCAACGGAUAAAAGGUACUCCGGGGAUAACAGGCUGAUACCGCCCAAGAGUUCAUAUCGACGGCGGUGUUUGGCACCUCGAUGUCGGCUCAUCACAUCCUGGGGCUGAAGUAGGUCCCAAGGGUAUGGCUGUUCGCCAUUUAAAGUGGUACGCGAGCUGGGUUUAGAACGUCGUGAGACAGUUCGGUCCCUAUCUGCCGUGGGCGCUGGAGAAUUGAGGGGGGCUGCUCCUAGUACGAGAGGACCGGAGUGGACGCAUCACUGGUGUUCGGGUUGUCAUGCCAAUGGCACUGCCCGGUAGCUAAAUGCGGAAGAGAUAAGUGCUGAAAGCAUCUAAGCACGAAACUUGCCCCGAGAUGAGUUCUCCCUGAGACUUUAAGUCUCCUGAAGGAACGUUAAAGACGAUGACGUUGAUAGGCCGGGUGUGUAAGCGCAGCGAUGCGUUGAGCUAACCGGUACUAAUGAACCGUGAGGCUUAACCUU